UUAAUUGAAUGCUAAGAGAAUGGAAUAUCAAAAAACAACUUUCUUAAAAUUAAAAAUUGAAAUUUUUUUAAUUUGUGUAAAAACAAUUAUAAAAAUUAAAGACAAGAAGACCCUAAGAAUUUUUAAAAUUUAAAUAAUACAUUUUUUGUUUUAAUUAAAUUUUAACUGGGGCGGUUAAAAAAUAUUAAAAACUUUUUAAUUUAAAAAUGACCCAUUAUUAAUGAAAAUAUGAUUAAAUACUCUAGGGAUAACAGCGUUAUAUUUUUUGAUAGAUCAUAUUGACAAAAAAGUUUGCGACCUCGAUGUUGGAUUAGGAUACU
rnacentral:rRNA from 1 species